AUAAUUACAAAUGGGGUUGCCUUCAGUGCUGGCUUCCUUGAGCAAGUGCACGUUGGUGGCUUUCAUCCAAUUCCACACCCUUGUGAACCUUUGGCCUCUUGCUAGCUUGCUCUUUGGCUUGCAGAGGAUUUUUACAUACACACUUGAAUGUAAUGAAAACUAUUGUUGUGCGCAAGCACUAAUGUA
rnacentral:misc_RNA from 1 species